GAAGGAAUAUCGCUUCAGGAGGGUUACAGGGGAUUCCAGUCUUUACGUUGUAGUCUUGUGAUUGGUUACGUCCGUCCAUGAUUGGGGCAACGAGAUCUGCGAAUAUGUUAGUCUCCUCAAUCUUAUGGAAAAAAAUAUCACCAUUCAUUCAUGCGGAACUUACUAAAAUAACAUGUCAUUCACGAGUAAUUUUCAAAGAGUUUAUGGGCCCCAAAAAGGGGUUUUUUAUUGAUUUACCCAUCUUCUUGCGUGAACUCUGACAAAUACAAGUGUUUGCGUGGAAGAUUAUCCCGUUUAUUUCUGUUUAUAUGUUACCUUACGUCCCUACCUAGCUUGAUUAGAGAAACCUGUGGCUUAGUAUACUGCGUGGGACGUUCGUCAUUUGUUUUAUGUUUAAUGUUUUGAUCACUAUAAAAAUACUCAGUCGUAAAAUGUGUCGCCGUUUGUUGAGAGACGAGUUGGACGGUGUAAUGGUAUUUCAUGUUUUCGUGGUCAGGUUUUGAGACGACCUUACUUGCGUGUGUAUGAAGAACUGAAAGAGGAAACGUGAAAGGGGCAUGCAGCCAACUUAUUUCAACUAUUUUUUUUCAAAAUCAUUGUAUGAUUGUAUCGCAGUUACCCAAAUGAUAAGGUGUCUGGGAAAAAAUGGCAAAUCGAUAGUCUACUCCGCGACCUGAUGGACACUUAGAAGGUAAUAACUCAUAAGGAACGUUACGUAAGUGUCGUGUGGUGGUGUAAGGUUGGGUGAGAAUUGAGAAAAACACGUGUUCAUCGUAUCAAAUAGGUCAUAAGGAACAUUACAUAAAAGUGUCAUGCGGAGGUGUAGAAGGUUGGGUCAGAAUGACACGUGUUUCAUCAUUAUCAAGCAGACCCAUCCCCGCAACGUUAUCCUGUAGAAGGAAAGGCC